rnacentral:rRNA from 3 species
UGGGGAAUAUUGCACAAUGGGGGAAACCCUGAUGCAGCAACGCCGCGUGAGUGAUGACGGCCUUCGGGUUGUAAAGCUCUGUCUUCAGGGACGAUAAUGACGGUACCUGAGGAGGAAGCCACGGCUAACUACGUG